rnacentral:rRNA from 1 species
GUGGGGAAUCUUGCGCAAUGGGCGAAAGCCUGACGCAGCAACGCCGCGUGCGGGAUGAAGGCCUUCGGGUUGUAAACCGCUUUCAGGAGGGACGAAAUUGACGGUACCUCCAGAAGAAGCCCCGGCCAACUACGUGCCAGCAGCCGCGGUAACACGUAGGGGGCAAGCGUUGUCCGGAUUUAUUGGGCGUAAAGAGCUCGUAGGCGGCUUAGUAAGUCGGGUGUGAAACCUCCAGGCUCAACCUGGAGACGCCACCCGAUACUGCUGUGGCUAGAGUCCGGUAGGGGAGCGUGGAAUUCCUGGUGUAGCGGUGAAAUGCGCAGAUAUCAGGAGGAACACCAGCGGCGAAGGCGGCGCUCUGGGCCGGUACUGACGCUGAGGAGCGAAAGCGUGGGGAGCAAACAGGAUUAGAAACCCCAGUAGUCC